UACGUAGGGGGCUAGCGUUGUCCGGAAUCAUUGGGCGUAAAGAGCGUGUAGGCGGCCCGGUAAGUCCGCUGUGAAAGUCGGGGGCUCAACCCUCGAAUGCCGGUGGAUACUGUCGGGCUAGAGUGCGGAAGAGGCGAGUGGAAUUCCUGGUGUAGCGGGUGAAAUGCGCAGAUAUCAGGAGGAACACCAGUGGCGAAGGCGGCUCGUGGGGACGUAAGCU
rnacentral:rRNA from 1 species